rnacentral:misc_RNA from 1 species
UCRAGACAGGAUCAACCGACACAAUGAGAGGAAAUAUGAUUUCACCACCGCAUGUCGAGAAGAUCCAAACGUCUCCAACUCAGAUUUCGGUCAACCGCAUGCGGUAUCACACGGGAGACCAGCUUCCGUCCCUUAACCAUAAAAACGGGGGGGGGGGACAACAAUUUGGGCCMCCCGGGCGAACUGGCCCCGGGCCAAAAGGUUGGGGGCCCACCUUCCUUCAAACACCCCGCGGGUCCCGGGAAUUUGCAAUUUCCCCCAAAUUAAACCUUUCUCUUACUUCCUUCUCCAAGGCAAAACCCAAAAAUCCGU